GGGAGAAAGUGGCAUUCUCAGGGCCGUGUUGGAAGUUCCAAGUUUAUGAGGCAUUUAAGUUAGGAUUUAGUGGUUACCUAUGGGGUUUAGGGUUGAAUUUUUUCUCUAAAAUACACUUCAUCUCUGAAUUGCAGCACAUGCUGAGAUGCUGUUUGGGCUCUGUUUUCUUCUCAAGGCAGUUCUAGAUUUCGCCUCAGAUGAAAUGAUGAGGAUACAAAGCUUCCGUCAGACCCCACCCCUACCUGACAGCCCUGCGGGAGAAAGGAGCUGUCCUGAGACGCUGGCUCACAGGGCCCCAUUGUCCUCUUCUUAUCUUGGCGUGUGAAAAUGUGUGACUUUGCCACCAUUGAGUGGAAACAAGGAGCAUACCGAAGAGGACAGCAAGAAGUGCCAGCAUCCUUCUGAGUCAAAAGGAGCAAGGAAAACCCUGUCAGCAACUGAUGUCAGUUCACAUGUCAACUCCUCCUGUUGACAACUGAUGUCUUAAGAGCUGGGUCAAGAAUUCUGAGUCACACCAAAGGUCAGUGGGAAAGAGCGCCAUGCCAGUUAACUACAACUGCCAUGGGUGGAGGAUGGGUGAGUACCAACUUACCUUCCCCAAGAGUGCCAGGUGCUGAGAAGGACAAAACUGGGCAGAGGGCCUUUGAUCGCAUCCCUCAAAAGUUGCAACAGUGGAAAUUCUAAGAGUGCUCUGAUUUUCGAAGGAAGUUUGUCUGUGAAUCAAGUGGCCAUACAGCAAGCCAACCUCAUCGUAGGAGAAGCCAUGAGCCUCACUCUCUAGGAUAUAUCCUUACUUGGGGAAUCCACUCUUUUGGCUUCAUACUCAUUAAGAUGGGAGAGGCCAAGAGAAAGGGUUUUGGUAAGCAUGGUAUCAGAAGACCAAAUAAUCAGGACCAUGCUCACUUUGUGAAAAUGUCACUUUCUUAAGUUUUAGAUUAUAUUACAUAGGAUUUAGGUCUCCUAUGAAUAUUACUGGCAAGGAUUUUUUUUUUUCAAAGUCAGAAAUACAUUUCCUUGAAACCCAGAGCACUGGACUCAGACUUGAGAAGAUGUGGAUUCCAGCUCCAAUCCUCCGACUUAAUAGCUAUGUCUAUAGAGCAGUCAGUAAGUCUCCCUAAGCCUCAGUUUCCUUGGUGACUGGCAUAUCCUAAGCAAUUAAUAAGUGUUUUUAAAGAAAUUAAUCCUAGCCCCCCACUACAAAUUAUGUUUAGUUUGAGUACAUAUUUUUAAUAGAGCAACUUUUAUCUGUGAAGUACUCAGGGCAUCCAGCAGAUUCUCGAGGUGGUGGGGAU
rnacentral:lncRNA from 1 species